AUUGAACGCUGGCGGCAGGCCUAACACAUGCAAGUCGAACGAGUGGCGGACGGGUGAGUAAUGUCUGGGAAACUGCCAGAUGGAGGGGGAUAACUACUGGCAACGGUAGCUAAUACCGCAUACCAUCGGAUGUGCACAGAUGGGAUUAGCUUGUAGGUGUGGUAAAGGCUCACCUAGGCGACGAUCCCUAGCUGGUCUGAGAGGAUAAACAGCCACACUGGAACUGAGACACGGUCCAGACUCCUACGGGAUGCAGCAGUGGGGAAUAUUGCACUAUGGGCGCAAGCCUGAUGCAGCCAUGCCGCGUGUAUGAAGAAGGCCUUCGGGUUGUAAAGUACUUUCAGCGAGGAGGCGUUACUCGCAGAAGAAGCACCGGCUAACUCCGUGCCAGCAGCCGCGGUAAUAC
rnacentral:rRNA from 1 species